rnacentral:misc_RNA from 1 species
AAGUCGUAACAAGGUCUCCGUUGGUGAACCAGCGGAGGGAUCAUUAGCGAGUGCAAACUCCAACCCUGUGAACGCAUCGCGUUGCUUCGGCAGGCGCGCCUGGGAGGCGCCGCGGCUGCAAAGCGCCUGCCGGCAGCACCACAAUUCUAUACUUUUGUCUCUGAGUGGCUUCUAAAUAUCAAAACUUUCAACAACGGAUCUCUUGGUUCUG